rnacentral:rRNA from 1 species
GACGAACGCUGGCGGCGUGCUUAACACAUGCAAGUCGAACGGAAAGGCCCUGCUUUUGUGGGGUGCUCGAGUGGCGAACGGGUGAGUAACACGUGAGUAACCUGCCCUUGACUUUGGGAUAACUUCAGGUAACUGGGGCUAAUACCGGAUAGGAGCUCCUGCUGCAUGGUGGGGGUUGGAAAGUUUCGGCGGUUGGGGAUGGACUCGCGGCUUAUCAGCUUGUUGGUGGGGUAGUGGCUUACCAAGGCUUUGACGGGUAGCCGGCCUGAGAGGGUGACCGGCGACAAUGGGACUGAGAGACGGACCAGACUCCUACGGGAGGCAGCAGUGGGGAAUAUUGCACAAUGGGCGGAAGCCUGAUGCAGCAACGCCGCGUGCGGGAUGACGGCCUUCGGGUUGUAAACCGCUGUCGCCUGUGACGAAGCGUGAGUGACGGUAAUGGGUAAAGAAGCACCGGCUAACUACGUG